rnacentral:rRNA from 1 species
CCUACGGGAGGCUGCAGUGAGGAAUAUUGGUCAAUGGACGCAAGUCUGAACCAGCCAUGCCGCGUGCAGGAUGACGGCUCUAUGAGUUGUAAACUGCUUUUGUACGAGGGUAAUAUCAGAUACGUGUAUCUGCUUGAAAGUAUCGUACGAAUAAGGAUCGGCUAACUCCGUGCCAGCAGCCGCGGUAAUACGGAGGAUCCAAGCGUUAUCCGGAUUUAUUGGGUUUAAAGGGUGCGUAGGCGGUUUUAUAAGUUAGAGGUGAAAAUUCGGGGCUCAACUCCGGACGUGCCUCUAAUACUGUAUGACUAGAGAAUAGAUGCGGUAGGCGGAAUGUAUGGUGUAGCGGUGAAAUGCGUAGAGAUCAUACAGAACACCGAUUGCGAAGGCAGCUUACCAAACUAUGUCUGACGUUGAGGCACGAAAGCGUGGGGAGCAAACAGGAUUAGAUACCCCGGUAGUC